rnacentral:lncRNA from 13 species
UCAGUGUGGAUACGGAAUGGUUGGUGACUCUGGAUGAGAUUGGAGGAGAUGGGGAUGAGAGAGGAGAGGAGGGUGCGAGGGAUCAGGAGAGCGGAAUAAAUGAGGCAGACCUUCAAGAAUUGGUCACUCUGGAUGAGAUCGUUGGCGAGGAAGGAGGGGAGGGUCCUAGCCCGGAGCCUCACCCAUUCAGGCAGGAGGACGAAUCAGAAGACUCCUUCAACACAGAGACUAUGGUGACCCUGGAUGAGACUGGAAGUGAUCAUGAGAUGGAGGAAGUGCAGCCCAAGAAGUCUCCAGAACCAGCCCAGACCCGGCACGCUGACAACACAGAAACAUUACCUGAAGCAUCAGAAGCAACAAGCAGGAGGUUCUAGCCAAGGCUCCGCCUCCAAGUGACCCCUGACCACACCCCUGGGUGUGUCUAAAAUGUGACCAUUUCCCCAGUGCUCUGGUUGAUAGAUAGGGCUCUACUAUAUAAUACGGUGAUAGAGUGCAGUUUGAUAUUUCAGCUGGUCUAGGAUCAGGUCGCCCGUGUUCAUAUUGUCUUAUUCAUUAUGAUUUAAAAGGUAAAACUGGUCCUGGAUCAGCCUUCCCUCUACUCUGAGACGCUUUGUGUCCAAUAUGACACAGAUUUUUAGAUUCAUUUGUUUUGUUAGCUUUUUUUUGGGGGGGGUGGAUUUAAAUAUCAUUAAACUGUUUUAAUUUAUCCAGAGUAACUCAGUCAGCAGAGACCAGACAUAAUUAUAUGUAUACGGAGAAAGUAAUAAAUGUCGUUUUUAUUACGAACACUGUGUUGUCUGGUGAAUGACUUGAUAACAUGGUGCACCGGCAGAACAGUGUAUAUUCCCGGCAGUUUGAAUCCGUGGUGAAGAGGAUCCUGGGCCGUAUUCAUCCGUGGAAACAAUGGAGGCUCAAGAGUUGUUGAAGGAGGAAAAACAAAAAAGAAAUGUAGGAAUUUAUUCAAGAAAGAUGUAAUAUAUUAUAGUAUUAUAACAAUACAGAGAAUAUGGGGGGAAAAUGCACCAAAUUAUUUAUUUUUAUUUUUUAAUCUUAAACAUAGAAAUGAUACCAAAAAAUAACUUACUAAUUUACUCGUGAUUCAUUAAACAAUAUUUUUGAAAAAGGAACUAAAGUACUUUAAGCUUUAAUGUUUUCGUUUGUCUCCUCCUUCUCCACCGAAGCAAAUCAAUCAAUGUAAAUGAACAUACAGAAAGACUCAUGUGAAUGCCAAGUUACAGAGGAGGAACAUCUUUAUAUAUUAUUAAUAUUAUUAAAGCCUUUAAGUCCCUGGAAAACCUUUUACAUCUUUAGGAACAUCUUUAUGUAAUUAAGUCCUGGAAAACCACACCUUUUACUCAGAGGACCUUCAUUAGCAUGUUNNNNNNNNNNGGGGGUGGAUUUAAAUAUCAUUAAACUGUUUUAAUUUAUCCAGAGUAACUCAGUCAGCAGAGACCAGACAUAAUUAUAUGUAUACGGAGAAAGUAAUAAAUGUCGUUUUUAUUACGAACACUGUGUUGUCUGGUGAAUGACUUGAUAACAUGGUGCACCGGCAGAACAGUGUAUAUUCCCGGCAGUUUGAAUCCGUGGUGAAGAGGAUCCUGGGCCGUAUUCAUCCGUGGAAACAAUGGAGGCUCAAGAGUUGUUGAAGGAGGAAAAACAAAAAAGAAAUGUAGGAAUUUAUUCAAGAAAGAUGUAAUAUAUUAUAGUAUUAUAACAAUACAGAGAAUAUGGGGGGAAAAUGCACCAAAUUAUUUAUUUUUAUUUUUUAAUCUUAAACAUAGAAAUGAUACCAAAAAAUAACUUACUAAUUUACUCGUGAUUCAUUAAACAAUAUUUUUGAAAAAGGAACUAAAGUACUUUAAGCUUUAAUGUUUUCGUUUGUCUCCUCCUUCUCCACCGAAGCAAAUCAAUCAAUGUAAAUGAACAUACAGAAAGACUCAUGUGAAUGCCAAGUUACAGAGGAGGAACAUCUUUAUAUAUUAUUAAUAUUAUUAAAGCCUUUAAGUCCCUGGAAAACCUUUUACAUCUUUAGGAACAUCUUUAUGUAAUUAAGUCCUGGAAAACCACACCUUUUACUCAGAGGACCUUCAUUAGCAUGUUUCAACCUAAACUCCUAUAUAAACGGUAGGUUAUCAGAUACUCAACAAGAAGGUCUGAUUUCAUUAUUACUGAAACAAGUGGUGUAUAUAUAAAGAUCUUACACUUCAGUGAUGUAAAAUGCGUUGGAUAUUAUUCAUCCUAACGUAACGCUCGUCUGAAGAAGAGGACCGCAGCGCAGCGUGGUACGUGUUCAUGAUUAUUUAACCAAACUGAACACUGAAACAAAACAACAACGUGGAACAGAACAAUUCUGUCUGGUGCAGAAACACUGAACAGAAAACAACUACCCACAAAACACAGGUGGGGAAAA